GAAAUGCGAUAAGUAAUGUGAAUUGCAGAAUCCAGUGAAUCAUCGAAUCUUUGAACGCAACUUGCGCCCUCCGGUAUUCCGGAGGGCAUGCCUGUUUGAGUGUCGUGAACAACUCGACCCUCCGACGUUUGUUUUUUUUUUGUUCAUCUUCUUGCGUCGAAGGCGUCGGUGGUGAGCGUUGCCGGACUCUGGAACCCGGCUCGCUUCAAAAUCAUUAGCUGGAUCCAUCCCGACCUGGUUCUACUCGGCGUAAUAAAGUCGUCAUCGUCGUCGAGGACGCUCGGCCUUCUGGGCGGGCGGCCACAGUAAGGGUGUUUGAACCGCUUCUAACGCGUCCCCGCUCUUCGGAGCCGGACACUUUUUGAACGCUCUGACCUCAAAUCAGGCAGGACUACCCGCUGAACUUAAGC
rnacentral:misc_RNA from 1 species